CCUCCCAGGUUCAAGCAAUUUUCCUGCCUCAGCCUCCCAAGUAGCUGAGACUACAGGCGCCCACCACCACGCCUGGCUAAUUUUUGUAUUUUUAGUAGAGAUGGGGUUUCACCAUGUUGGCCAGGAUGGUUUUGAUCUCUUGACCUUGUGAUCCGUCCGCCUUGGCUUCCCAAAGUGCUGGGAUUACAGGCGUGAGCCACCGCGCCUGGCCGCAUUUUCUAAUUUCUGAGUCUCUUUUUCUUCUUCCUUAUUUCAGAGAUUGGCUACUAUCGACAAUGUUGCUGUCAUCAGAAACUCAUGGGUAUCACUCCAGACAUUACCUUCUUUCUUUUGUCCAGCACCAGCAGCUUACCAAGUCCUAAAAGAUUCACUUGUAGAAUAAUACUUGUAAGUUUCAGCUCCCCUCCAAUCGUAUUUCCUCUCUUGUUCACUUGUAUUACCACAAAUACCUUUCAGCAGGUCUUUUGACCGUCAAUUUAGCCAUUUUAUAUUCCACAUCCCAAGAUCCUGUCAGAAUUUUCUUCCCAAUAUUGAAAUAACACCCUGUCACUCCUAGGAUUAUAAUGACUCAUUUAAGAUAAAAUCCUAGUUUUUCUGUAUAACACUGUUCCCCUUUACUUUUUCAGCUUCAUUCAUCUCUUGACAUUAUCUCAGAUGUAGCUUGCCCUGAGGCAAUGCCAAACACUUGCUGUUCCUUGACUGUUUGCUGCUUUUCCAUGAGUGGGUUUCUGGUUCACAUAGAAGAGGAGACAUCUGAAUAUGUAUAAGAAAAAUGUCAACCCUCCCCUAGUGGAUGCUGAAAAACUUGAGGAGAUGGACACCACAAUGGUGUGAAUGGGCAGAUUUCCCUGAAACGAUAUUUACAGAUGAGAUGAUAUUUUAUCCAGAUCUUGAAGUUUAAGUAAAAGCUUGCUAAUAUGCCAUUGCUGCUACUGCUGUUGUUGCCAUUGAUGAUGAUGAUAUUGAUCAUGACAAUAAAUAAUGAAUUA
rnacentral:lncRNA from 1 species